rnacentral:rRNA from 1 species
AUUGAACGCUGGCGGCAGGCUUAACACAUGCAAGUCGAGCGGGGGAAGGUAGCUUGCUACCGGACCUAGCGGCGGACGGGUGAGUAAUGCUUAGGAAUCUGCCUAUUAGUGGGGGACAACAUCUCGAAAGGGAUGCUAAUACCGCAUACGUCCUACGGGAGAAAGCAGGGGAUCUUCGGACCUUGCGCUAAUAGAUGAGCCUAAGCCGGAUUAGCUAGUUGGUGGGGUAAAGGCCUACCAAGGCGACGAUCUGUAGCGGGUCUGAGAGGAUGAUCCGCCACACUGGGACUGAGACACGGCCCAGACUCCUACGGGAGGCAGCAGUGGGGAAUAUUGGACAAUGGGGGGAACCCUGAUCCAGCCAUGCCGCGUGUGUGAAGAAGGCCUUAUGGUUGUAAAGCACUUUAAGCGAGGAGGAGGCUACUCUAGUUAAUACCCAGGGAUAGUGGACGUUACUCGCAGAAUAAGCACCGGCUAACUCUGUGCCAGCCGCCGCGGUAA